UGCAACAAUAAUCAAUCCGAGAAAAAUGAUAAUAAAAGCAUACAAGAGUAUAGUUAUUACAUCAAGAAUCUAAGUAAUCUAAAAUUGACUUAAAGUUAUCACAAACUUUGGGUCUUCCAGCGUUAAUUUAUGUAUGAAGUAAAGUUAAUUUGCAAUCCUGUGUUCCCUUGACGACAACAGCGCAGGUGCCCAGCUCUACUUCACAUCAAAAUAUUGUAUUUGUACUUGCUAAACACAUCGGUAUCGGGCCGAAAGAAGUCAAUGGCCAAGAACGAAAUGAAGGAGUGUCCCACCAGUCUAGAAUCAUUGGAGAGAAGAGAGUGAGCCAGAUGGAGACGACUGCUCCGAGACCAUAGAGCACAGAUAGUGUUAUGAGCCAGUCUUCACCGAUAACAAUAUCCGCCAUCUUGUGUAUUUACACCGUUGCUUCACGGAAAAUCCUCAAAUAUUCUUUCUUUUUUGUCUGAAUCUCUCUGUUGAUUUCCCUAGGUCACCUUUUAUCGUUUGAUUGUAGUAUUUAAGUAGAAUUUCUCGAGUUAGCUUGAGAAAGCACUUUCGCGGUUUCUGAAAGUUGAAAAGAUUUUUCGAACUAAUUUGCAAGUUUGAUCGCUCUCUAUUGGUUCUCUUGACAUUAGGCGCCUAGAAACCAUGCAUAGAACCAUUAAAUAUUAACUCAAUGGAUUGUCAUAGAUAUGGAACUAUGCGAUAUUCAAAUUUUAAAACAAAAAAGCGCGAUUACUUGAAAAGAAAGGAAGAAAAUAUGAAAAAAUGGCUGCUUACUAUCUAACUUGCUAACAGACAUUUAAUAAAUGAUUUUUGACGUCGUAGCGAAAA